AUUUCGGGACUUUGGGAGGCUUGGUCUGCGCAUAGUCGUAAGUACUAGCCACCCGGUCCCUCCCUUCUGGAUGCUCGUUGCUGCUCUUUAUGAGUGGUGAUUAAAGGGAGAACGGUGUUUCGGCAUCGUUUGCCUGAGAGUUCCAGAUCGUUUACUUUGAGAAAAUUAGAGUGUUCAAAGCAGGCGUUGCGGCCUUGAAUACAUUAGCAUGGGAUAAUAAUAUAGGACUCUGUUCUUAUAUCGUUGGUUUCUAGGAACGGAGUAAUGAUUAAUAGGGAUAGUUGGGGUGAUUUAUAUUUCAUUGUCAGAGGUGAAAUUCUUGGAUUUGUGAAAGAUAAACUUCUGCGAAAGCAUUUCACAAGGAUGUUUUCAUUAAUCAAGAACGAAAGUUGGGGGAUCGAAGACGAUCAGAUACCGUCAUAGUCUCAACCAUAAACCAUGCCGACCAGGGAUCGGAAGACGUUAAUUGAAAGACUCCUCCGGCACCUUGUGAGAAAUCAUGAGUGUUUGGGCUUCGGGGGGAGUAUGGUCGCAAGGCUGAAACUUAAAGGAAUUGACGAAAGGGCACCACCAGGAGUGGAGCCUGCGGCUUAAUUUGACCCAACACGGGGAAGCUUACCAGGUCCGGACAGUAGAAGGAUUGACAGAUUGAGAGCUCUUUCUUGAUUUGCUGCGUGGUGGUGCAUGGCCGUUCUUAGUUGGUGGAGUGAUCUGUCUGGUUAAUUCCGUUAACGAACGAGACCUUAACCUGCUAAAUAGUUACGCUACCCUGCUUUUACCUGGGGCAACUUGGGUUUGCAAGGGUAUGUGGCUAACUUCUUAGAGGGACCAUUGGAAUCAAGCCAAAGGAAGUUUGAGGCAAUAACAGGUCUGUGAUGCCCUUCGAUGUUCUGGGCUGCACGCGCGCUACACUGAUGGACUCAACGAGUUUAACACCUUGGCCGACAGGUCUGGGUAAUCUUCUCGAAGUCCAUCGUGCUGGGGAUAGAUCAUUGCAAUUAUUGAUCUUCAACGAGGAAUUCCUAGUAAGCGUGAGUCAUCAGCUCGCGUUGAUUACGUCCCUGCCCUUUGUACACACCGCCCGUCGCUCCUACCGAUAGGAUGAUCCGGUGAAGACCUCGGAUUGUUGGACUGACCCGUCGGGGGAAACCCUAAUGGCAAAACCGGCGAAAAGUCGUCUAAACCUUAUUAUCUAAA
rnacentral:rRNA from 1 species